GUGGGGCUGUGGCUCAGAGGCAGAGUGCUCGCCUAGCACAUGCCAGGUACUGGGUUCGACCCUCAGCACCACA
rnacentral:tRNA from 1 species